CAUAAGUAUCAGGGAAGUGGCCAGAUGGGGUGGAGUAGACAAAAAAGUGGGCAAAAUGACUGUUGGCUGGCCUGGAUUCAUAUGAUCAGGACAACUUCAUUUAAAAGGGACUAUUUUUUGCUACCUCGUUUAAAAGGGACUGUCUUUUGCUAUAGCUCCUGCAUUUAUUUAAAGUGACACACAACACCACCACCACCAACUCCCUCUGUUUUUCUUCCUGUUGGACUUUGGCCUGGUUGGGUAGGGCAUUCUAAUUGUCACAGCCCAGGUCUUUAGUCAAGAUCAGUGAACUCCAUCAGCCCCUCCUAAACAAUGGAAUGGUCUUCCUAUAGGAAGAGGGGUUUUGAUAUCAGAUGAUGGGACAGUAGGAUGCUAAACAGGUACAUCACAUCAUCUUGAGUGAUACACUUACUACAAGAUUUUUAGUGUAUUUAAAAAAUAAGUCCUAUACUUCCAAAUCACUUUUCCUUCUAGUUCAAGAGAAAGAAGCAUUCAUUUUCCUAUUCCAAGUUAAUUCUUAUGAAGUGCUUUUGAGCCAUUUUCCAACAUCUCCUUGUGUCCUAAUACACACAAACAUUUUACCUAUUUAAAAAAUAUUUAACUACUGUCUUAUGUCUCUCUGCCUUUUUGAAGCUGAACUCUUUCAAAGGAUACUGAAAAGUACAACUGUGAAUUUGGAUUGUGGUUUAAUACCAUUCAAGUUAUAUGGCUUUGGGCAAGUUUCUUCAACUGAGCUUUAGUUUCUUGUUAUCAUCCUUCUAGGCUUAUUAUGAGUAUUGAGUACCUUAUGAUGAGUGUAAAGAGUCUUACAUAUUUUGUACCUAGCACAAAAAUACUGCAGUUAUGAGAUUAAAACCAGGCUUUACUUAAUAGACCUAUAGUUACUGGCAAGUCAUUUAACUUCUUUGAACUUCACUAGUAUUAUAUUUAUAAUGUAAAAAUAAUGCCUACCUUGCAGGAUUUUUGUGAAUAUCAAAUGAGGUCAUGAAUGAAUAUGUCUAAUAAUGGUAACUGUUGCUGUUAUUUUUUAAAUUAAUAAUUAUUUGCUUUUACAUUAAUAAUUAUUUGCCCAGCCAGUUUUCUUUUGGUCCCUGGUCCAACUAAUUUGAAUGGAUUACACAUAGGAGACUAAUAUAU
rnacentral:lncRNA from 1 species